GAUGAAGAACGCAGUGAAAUGCGAUAAGUAAUGUGAAUUGCAGAAUUCAGUGAAUCAUCGAAUCUUUGAACGCACAUUGCGCCCAUUAGUAUUUUAGUGGGCAUGCCUGUUCGAGCGUCAUUUCAACCCUUAAGCCUAGCUUAGUGUUGGGAAUCUGCUGUAUUGCAGUUCCUCAAAUACAACGGCGGAUCUGUAACAUCCUCUGAGCGUAGUAAAUUUUUAUCUCGCUUUUGUUAGGUGUUGCAGCUCUCAGCCGCUAAACCCCCCAAUUUUUGUGGUUGACCUCGGAUCAGGUAGGAAUACCCGCUGAACUUAAGCAUAUCAAUAAGCGGAGGA
rnacentral:misc_RNA from 1 species